UACGGAGGAUCCAAGCGUUAUCCGGAUUUAUUGGGUUUAAAGGGUGCGUAGGCGGCCUGUUAAGUCAGGGGUGAAAGACGGUAGCUUAACUAUCGCAGUGCCUUUGAUACUGAUGGGCUUGAAUACACUAGAGGUAGGCGGAAUGUGACAAGUAGCGGUGAAAUGCAUAGAUAUGUCACAGAACACCAAUUGCGAAGGCAGCUUACUAUGGUGCAAUUGACGCUGAGGCACGAAAGCGUGGGGAUCAAACAGG
rnacentral:rRNA from 1 species